GCCGCUCUCCUGACUCCUAGCCCAGAGGAGUCAGCCAGGCGCCCAGGCCAAGGCACUGGGUAUUUUGAGGCUCCAGCAUCAUCAGCAGGGUCUAGGAGGCCUCAGCCAUAUUGUAUUUCAUGUGACCCAGGCACUGGGCCAGCAAUGCAGCCACGGGGAGCCAACCUUGUGCCCUUGCCACUGACCUGGGCCCCAUCUCCUUUUCUGCUGGUCUCCAGAGCCAGACCAGGGCAGAGGCAUUGUGGGAAGGGCCCCUGCCAGGCCCAACAGGCACAAGAAGCAGGAGGCAAGAGGGCAACUUUAGCUGCCACCAAAGUGCCCAAGAAUGGGUUUUGGGCCCCUCAGCAACUCCAUCCUCUGCCCAUUCCACUGUAAAUAUCCUGAACAGUGUUUGUCUCUGGACAUCGUAUAGGGCAUAGGGAACCAACCAUCUGGGUUUGCCCUGGACGCUCCUGGUUUUAGCACUGAAAAUCCCAUGUCCCAUGAAACUCCUCGGUCCUGUGCAAGCAGGAAGGGUUGUUGGCAAUCUCCUACCAUCCUCCAGUUGUGACUCCCAUUUGAAGAUGCAGAAACUGAGGCCCAGGAAAGGCAAGUCCCUUGCCCAGGGUCACGGAGCUGGAAGAUGUGACCCCAGAAGACAGAACCAGGACAAUGGAUGGAUCUUCGGGGAGGCAGAUUUGAACUCAAUCUGAGAAAGAACUUGUAACAAUGUGAACAGUUUGACACCAGCUCUUGAGGGUCCUGCCAGGAGAUCAAGAGCUCCCUGUCAACUCUGGGCAUCUUCAGUGGGGUUGGAUGAGCACCCACAAAGUCCCUGAGGUCCCUAGUUAGGCAGGGACUGACCACCCCAACCUCCUUCUCAGGCCCCUCUCUCCCCAGGAGAUCCUGACCCCCAUCAAACCCACUGCCCUGCAUUCCAGACCCACAAGGCCCCACAGGCUGGCUGGAUCUUCCAGAGGCAAGUGAUGGUAGGUGAACAUGAGUUUGUGUCAGUGGUCUUCAUUGUCUGAAUAGGAGAAGUGACCAGUGGUGGGGCUCCCCUGCUCCAGGCCAGCCUACCUCGUCAGAAAGACCAACCCCUCCUUGAUGCACCCACAACCCCUUCCCUCACCUCAUCCACACCUGUGCCUCCAGUCUCACGGGCUGAAGGAAGCAGCUCAUCUAUGGGUAAGCUGAAUAUGUACAGGUUUGCUGCCAGCCUGGGUUCCUUGGGAACAGUGCCUAGCCCACGCCAGGCAUCUGUCAACGCUCAGAAGGUGUGUGUUUACUUCCCAGGCCCUGUUCAAACCCUUUCCUCAUUCAUGGUGCCCUACCAGGUACACAUGAUGCCCUCCUGCCCUUCCCCAUCCGCUCUUAGGAAAGAACCUGUGAAACCCAUUCCAAUCAAGAAGCCUGUGGCUGAGGCUUCCUGCCCCUGCCAUCCCUGGGGGAAAUUUUACUGUUAAAUCAGACAAGCUUGAAAGACUCACUUGAUUGCAUUGUGGCUAAGCUUACCAUUGUGGUGUUUUUGUUUAUUUGUUGGUUGGUUGGUUUGGAGAGGGAAGAGAAGGAUUUUCCAGAGUCUGGACUCAUGGCUUGGUGGGGCCUCCCAGGGUCAGCACUAAUUGUAAGAGUUUGGCGAGAUCUGCAGUUGAUACCAUUCAGGGCAACCCGCCCUGGUUUCCUUCCACACCAGGGAGUGCCCGUCAGUCAGUUUUAAAGCCAGCAGCUUGGUUAUUGGAACGUCCUGAGAAAGCCAUGACCCAGGGGACCAGCUAGGGAACACUCGGGUCUCAGCUCACCUUCUGCCAAACUCUAGGUCUCAUGAGCACUCUCGUUUCCGCUCCUUCCUGGGGCUGGCUGAGGUCAUGACCUUCUGAAAGAGCGCAGGGUCAGCCAGCCCAUCUGAAAUUUCCCCUCCCUAAAUGUGAAAGGAGAUAUGUCCAACUGUAAAUAGAGCCCACAUCCUUAUGACUCAGCAGAUGUGGCUGUCCUCAAUCCCAUCCCCUAGAAUGUCAAAUAGACCAGCCUCAGAGGUCUGACAGCAUUAGAACAGAGACUGCAAAGCCUGGGCCCAGAGGCACUUUCCCCAUGAGUCCUUUUGGACAAUACCCAGACACCCAGAUACACUCCCAGAGACAGAUGCACACACUCAGACACCCAGACACCCACACACACAUAGUCAGAUGCACACAUACAGAAACAAAGACAGACACACACCAAAAACUCAGACACAUCACUGAUGCACACACACAUACACAUACUCCUCCAAAGGACUCAGCCCGAGUCAGAUCUGUCCUCUACGCCUGACCCUGAACACCUCUUCCAAACUCAACAGGUGGCCACUGGCUCUCUGGGUCUCUGACCUGGAACCAGGGUCAUGAUGGCUAGAGGAAGGGAAAAUGGUAGAACUACUAAUUCGUCACACUAAUUCAACACCCAGAAAAGAAGUGUCAUUCUUUCAUUUAUUUGGUAACUUUCCCAAGUCCAGCCAUGGGAAGGCAUAAGGACUAGCAAUUAGAACACUAACCCAUACCUUCUCUCUCCUUCUCCUAUCAGAAGGUUACCCAUGCUUUAAGGCCAGACAAAAGUUAAUGCAUAGUAGGCCUUCAACAUCAAUGCUAUUGAACUUACUACGGCCUUGAGGGACAGGUGAGCUGGGAGAGGGUGGCUGCCCAGCACCUGGUUCCAAGGACUCUAUUUUGGCUUCUUGCCACUCUAAUGUCCUGCAGCUAUCCUUGCAAUUUUGGACCAACCAAGGAAUGAUAACUCAUUCAUUAAUUCAUUUUGUAAAUACUUACUGAGCACCCAUAGGCACUGCACAGAAAACAGCAAAUAGAGACCCAGUCCUGCUCUCAUACAGCUUAUGGCCCACCAGAGGAGAGAAACAUCAAAAACCCAAGAUCCAAACCUGUGAACCCCAGGCCGCCAAAGCAGAGUGUGCAAACUUAGCCACUACGCCACUGGGCCGGCACCCCCAAGUAAUUCUUAAAAAGAGAUUAGGACACGCAGGGAGGGAAGACCGUAUGAAGACACAGGGAGAAGACGGCCAUCUACAAGCCAGUGAGAGAGACCUCAGAAGGAACCAACCCUGCUGACACCUUGAUCUUGGACUUUUAGCCUCCAAAAUUGUGAGAAAAUAAAGUUCAGUGGUUAAGGCACCCAGACUAUGUACUUUACUAUGGCAGCCCUAGUCAACUAAUACAAUAUUUAAUUAAAAUUAAUGAGUGUCACAAAGGUGCAGUGAGAGGUUGUAGGAGGGGGACCUAAUCUCUUCCAGAAAGGGGGGAGGGUCACAGGAAAUGUCAUUUAACUUGAGACCUAAAGAAUUAGGAGUUACUUCUAAAAAGGUAGAGAGUGGGUAGGGUUUGGGGUGGAAGAGGGGACACUGUGGACAGAAGACCAUGCCCAGGUCCUGAAGCAGGCAGGAAGGAGCCUGCACCUGUGAGGAACACACGGUGCUCCUGGUCCGGAGGCUGGAGCACGUGAGCAAAGGGCCCCAAGGCUGGAGUAACAGGCAGGGGCCAGUUGAGAAGGCGCAUCUUUGGCCAUGUUCAGGAUUUUGGGAUUCAAGAUGAGAGACAGGAGAAAUGGCUGAAUCAGUGGGUUAGCUUUUACUUUGAGAAAUGCUUUUU
rnacentral:lncRNA from 1 species